CGUGCAGGCGGUAUGGUAAGUCGGACGUGAAAGCUCCUGGCUCAACCGGGAGAGGCCGUUCGAAACUACCAAACUUGAGGGCAGUAGAGGGAGGUGGAAUUCCGGGUGUAGCGGUGAAAUGCGUAGAUAUCCGGAGGAACACCAGUGGCGAAGGCGGCCUCCUGGACUGCUCCUGACGCUCAGACGCGAAAGCUAGGGUAGCGAACG
rnacentral:rRNA from 1 species